rnacentral:lncRNA from 1 species
UCUGCAACCUACACCACAGCUCACAGCAACGCCAGAUUCCAGACCCACUGAGCAAGGCCAGGGAUUGAACCCACAUCCUCAUGGAUACUAGUCAGAUUUGUUUCUACUGCGCCACAAAAGGAACUCCCGGUUGAAUCGUUUUUAUUUCUUCAGGAUCAGGACUCUGCCCUUCAUUCUUCCAGCCCGUAUUUAUUGAGCAUAUAUUAUACGCAAGGAUAUUUCAGUAAUUUUGUAGAAAUAAAAAUAAAAGACUCCUGCUUUAAAAUGAAUUCAUGUAAGUAGAAGGAAUGCACCAUUGAAUGGAAGAUGAUAAGAAUGCAGUCCAUGUUUAACUCCGGUGGAAGAGUUUUAUAAGGAAAAAAAGAAGGGGCAAGUCCCAGAAGCAAGAUUUAGGAGGAGAUGGUAUAAAACUUCAGGAAUAAAAGUGGAAUGUGAGUCCUUGGGAUUUCUAGGAAGAUCCCAGAAUGAGAACGGGAUCUAAAGUCAACAAUCGAAACUCUACGAAGUAUAAAAUUUUCAAACUUCAGUUGCUUCCGUAAUGUUAGGAGUCUCAUUAUUUCCACCACUUUCCUUGUAGGAAGUGAAAUUAAAACCCUUACGUCAAAAGAGAUCCUGUGGGCUCAUCCUCAGCAGCACAAAGUUGGGGAGCUGAACAGAUAUUUUUUAAUCUGGUUUAGAAAGCAAACUGGUGCAUGGACGCACCUAUUCUGAAGAAGAUCAGAGAGAAAGUGAGACUCUGGGGCCUGUUAUAAGAAACCAACAUGACCACAGGAGGUAGAUCUGGCUUCUCAAGGAAGCCCUGGGGAUGAAAAGUGGAUUAAUCCCAGGGACUCCUGAAUAACAAAAACCAAUCCCACUAAGUCUACCUUCUAGGGCCACUCUGGAGUUCCAAAGAGAUGCUAGGAGUGAAAUCACUACCCAUGAGAUCUGAUGAUGCUCUCUGCUAGGCUCAGGACCAGGGACUUGGGAAUCCUGCCAUCCAGCUCCUAUCUCUGAGUGUUCCUGUUUUCUUCUCCACUCCAACAUUUUUCAGCCUUUUCUUCUGGAUUUCUAGACUCAGCCUAUUGCCAUAGCAGAGCCUCAUUGGCUGUUUAAUGAUAGUCUAAUGAGGUCUCCGAGUGUCCUAAAGGAAUACUCCAGGCCUGCAGCUUUCCCUUUAAGGAGGGGCCUUUGAAUCGAGGUCUGCAUUAAGUAUGAAUCAAGCUUUCUGUCUGUGUCUGGCGCACACAUGAGUGAAAUCCACCUCCGUAUCACUCGUUCCUGGAGGGGAUUUUCUCCCUGCCUUACACCUGCAGAAUGCUAUCCUCUUUUCUCAGGCAAGCUUGGCUCCAUGAUUAAUAUUUUAAGCCUCCCAGGUCCCACUUUCUCUAGUUUCCAAAGUGCCGGAAUGUUGGACUUUUAAAAAAUGUAUUUAUCUCCUCAUCCAGACUGUUGAGGAGGAAUUGUGAGUCGAAGGCACAGCCAUGGGGGCCGAAGCAAAUCCGGGCAAAUCUUUAAAUUGCUCCUGCAGUCAUCUGGGUUUCCCUUCAUUACCAUCGCAGAUGCUUCUCCUCUCCCCCGCUGACCUUCACUUUGGAAAGGAAGGGAGAAGUUCUUUAAGAAGGCAUUAGAUUUUUUCCUCCCAAACAGGCUUGAAAUAUAUGGUAACUGUUGUCACCUCAGUUCAGAGGGACAUCUGUCUGGCUUGCUCCCCUGUCCUAGGCACUGCCAUCCUCCCCAGCUCAGCUCCGAGGAGAUUCUUCUAAUUUCUCCCUCUCCCGAGCUCCCUUCUCUCCUGGAGGCACUGCUGAAGUCUCCCUCACAAGGCUUCUUGCAUUCACCUCACGACUGGCUGCAGGCACCUGGUUAUCUCCCCAUCCGCAGUCUCCUUACAGCAUAGCUUUUUUGCUCAAGAAGCAGAAAAAAAUCCUGAGAUACGGAGGCAGGAAGGGCUUGCUGUAUAACCUAGAGUCUGGGAUCUGAGUAAUUAUGUUCAGAUUCAGCUCUGACACUCAUUCCUAAACCAGGGCACGUAUCCUGAUCACGUUACGCUUCAAUUUCUUUACCUGUAAAAUUGAAGCUUGUAAUAAAGGAAAUGAAUAAUAAAGAGUAAAUAAAUAAUAAAUGAGAACACAGGCAAAACUCAAAUGUCACAAAAUGUGUGCCAUCAAUGACACAGACCCAGGUGACUGGAGUUUGGGAAAUCGGACUCUGGGAAGAUGCUUGCUGAAUUCCCCUGCCUCUCUGGAUGCCCAAGAGUUGACCAUAUAAUAGAUAACUUUAUUAGUGAACAUAUCUGCAUUGGGUAAUAGAAACACAAAGAAAAAUGAGGGGCAGUGUUUGCUUUUGUGGUAUUCGCAGUCUAGUAGGUCUGACAAAGCUCCAAGUGGCUGUAGGAGAAUCUCUGGCCACUGCCCUCCACUUAGCCAAGUAGCUGGGACAAUGGAAGAGGUUCCUUCACUGGGUCAAAUAUACUGACUCAUUCCCAGAACAUGCUGAAUAUCUGUAACCAAUAGACUCCUCUCUAUUACACUGUGUGGUUCUGCCUCCACCAGCUUUUGAUUGAACACUCCUUGUCCUGUCUGCAUUGAAUCAAAGAUCUUUACGUAGGGACAAUGUACUAUGAUGAGCUGGAAUAAAAACAGGUACAAAGUAGCAGAGGCACCUGCCUUCAAAGAGCAAUGUUGCAGAGCAGGGAAGGACAGGACUUGAAAUCAAGGACACAGUAUUCUCCCUGGUUCUCCCUGGUUCUGUGACGUUAGACAUUGCAGAGCAGGGCAAGGUCAGGACUUGAAAUCAAUGACACAGUACUCUCCCUGGUUCUCUCUGGUUCUGUGAACUUGGACAAUGCAUUUCACCCAUUCAGGCUUCUGUUUCCACUUGUAAGAUGGAGAGAAGUUUACCUGCCUGUCAACAGUAUUGUGAGAAAUAAAGAAUAUUAAACACGCAAAAAUAUUUUUUAGAUUGUCAAAUUUCUUAUAAUGUUAGUUUCAGAGCCUGACAUAAAGAAAAGGCUAAGGAAAAUUCAGGAAAGGAAUGAAGGCAAGAUGCAGGGGAGAAGCGGAGAGAUAAGACACAGAUGGCAUUUUAUAAAACUUUAAAAUGGGGAAAUAUCUGCCAAGGGCUAAUAGGCUAUAGGAAUUUAGAAUAGGAAGAAAUGACCGAGUAGUAAUAGGAUCAUGUUCGCAUUUUAGUAUUAAUUUAAAAUUACUCUAGAACAUUAAGAAAGUUUGAUUUGUGAGAGGCAAUACCAGAGAUAGGGAGACCAGUUGAAAAACCGCUGGAAUAAUCACAAUAAUAAACUGAGGAAGUGUCGGUUGAGGUAAAUUCAAUAUAUCGAAGAAAGACAUUUCCAGACGCGGCGAGGGGGGCCUUAGAAAUAAUUUCCAGAUUUCUCACUGGGGUAGCUGGCUGAAUGAGUGUUUAACCAGGACAGGGAAGAACUGAGAAAAAGAAGGUUUGGGCAAGACAUGGCAAAUUUAGUUACAAACGUGUUGGACUGAAGUUUCCAUAGGACAGCCAGACUAAAACGUUGGCAGGUAACUGUAUACAGAGAGUUUAGAAUCACAGACGUGGGGUCAUCGCAAAGAAAAUAAUUGAGAUCAUUGUUAUUCUCACCCUGGCAACUAUGUUGGGUGAGAAUAAUAAAAGUGGGCUCCAGACAGUACCUGGAGAGUUCCAGUUGUAGAUGGUUCUAAAAGGUUGUUGGCCAGGUUAUACAAUUUAUAUGCAAGCGUAAACGAUAACUUAAAAGCACUAAAUCUGGAGUCAGCGUUCCUGGUCUCCAAUCCCAGAUCCAUCUUACUUGCCUGGGUGAGUCAUUUUGACUCUCUGAACCUCUGCUUUCCCAUAAGCAAAAUGGAAAUAGAAGAGGAAGCACCUGAUGAGAAGACUAAACAAGAUAACAGGAGUAAAGUGUUUAUUCUUGUGCCUAAUUCAUAAAUACAUACAUAUAUCUUAAAUGUUAGAAGUUUAAAGGGACUUGGGGGAAAAGAUUUUCAUGUGUUUGCAUUUUCAGAUUUUUUUUUUUUAAGUUCUCUGAAUAAGAGUUGUUUCCAGGCUACCAGUUUAGGAAAAGACCACUGGAAAAUCUUUGUCAUAUUUUUUUUCAGUUGUCCAUUGAGCAUCCUUCAGUAUCUCUGCUUCCCUUUCCCUUCCCUCAGCAACCCUCCACACAACCUUGGGCAUCAAGAGCUCUCACAAUGUUUGGCCUCUGCGCAUGCUGAUGCUGAAGGCCUAUGGCAGUGUCCUUGGGGUCUCUAGGCUGGAAUGUCUAUAGCUCACCAUACAGGGGCCAGCUGCCAAGGCCCCCAUCAACACAAACUCCUGUCCCAGAAAGUCAUACUCUUCACCCUGCUACUCUGCUACUUCCUGUUGCUGCUGCUUCGUCUCUGUCCCAGCUGCCACUUUCUGCCAUUGCCUCUGUCUCCCAACACCCCUGGGAUUUGGUGAUGUCAUUCAUUCAUUAUUUCAAGAAAUAAUGACUUAGUUCCCUCUAUGAUCCAGACACUGAGCUAGGCACUAGAGAUAUUGAGGUGAAUAACAUCUGUCCUUUCAGAGUUUAUCCCCUGGGUAAAAAUAUAGUAAUCAAUCAAACAUAAAUCAAGUAAGAAAAUUUCAAAUAGUGAGGCAUGUGAUAAAGAAAAUAAACAGCAAGAUGUGACAGGAAAAGGACAGGUCUGAGAUGGAUCUUUCGGGUGACAUUUAAUCGAAACCUGGAUCCUCAAAAUACAGUGAAUGUGUGGAGGGGAGGUGUUAGAGACCAGAUUCUCUUAUUUGAGCAAUUAUUCAAGCCAGGCACAUAGCAGGAUAUCUUCUUAGAUUUGCAUUUCUCAUUUGCAACUCUCUUUCUCCCUCUUGAAGCAAG